GGAAGAAGAAGAAGAAGAAGAAGAAGAAGAAGAAGAAGAAGAAGAAGAAGAAGAAACUGAAGUGCCACACCUGAGAAGUCAGCACUUUGUUGCCCGGCUCUGCACUCCUCAAGGACGGCCAAAUUGUGUAUUCCACCCUUCUCCAUCUGUGUUGCAUUCAACCAGCCGGGACUAUUGUACCCUUCCUAAGGAUAUCACAGAUCUGGUUACUGCACAAGCAAUGCCACUCCCUCCGUUGGAGAUCUACUCUCUCUGAGCUCGACUCGCUGACCCUAAGAUUACACCUCGGAGAGAUGCUUCGAUUCACACUGCAUGGAGGGGUUGCACCCGCUGGUGAAAAGCCAGUCCACCUUUUCCUGUCCCGGCAUCUGAAGGACACCCGAGGGAGAGAGACGUCAGCGUCGCCACAACCGCCCGCCACCGCCGCCAUCGUCAACACUAACAUCAUCAUCAUCUGUGGAAGUCCCUCAGAGACCACAGCCGAAUGAGCCAGAGCACAGAAUCCUCCCAGGGGUCACUGCUGUUAUGGAGAUCAAUAUCACAGACCGGAGGUCUCCCA